CCUACGGGUGACAGCAGUGAGGAAUAUUGGUCAAUGGCCGCAGGGCUGAACCAGCCAAGUCGCGUGAGGGAUGACGGUCCUAUGGAUUGUAAACCUCUUUUGUCAGGGAGCAAAGGGCGCCACGUGUGGCGCUUUGCGAGUACCUGAAGAAAAAGCAUCGGCUAACUCCGUGCCAGCAGCCGCGGUAAUACGGAGGAUGCGAGCGGUAUCCGGAUUUAUUGGGUUUAAGGGGUGCGCAGGCGGAAUGUCAAGUCAGCGGUAAAAUUUCGGGGCUCAACCCCGUCGUGCCGUUGAAACUGGCGUUCUUGAGUGAGUGAGAAGUAUGCGGAAUGCGUGGUGUAGCGGUGAAAUGCAUAGAUAUCACGCAGAACUCCGAUUGCGAAGGCAGCAUACCGGCGCUCAACUGACGCUCAUGCACGAAAGUGUGGGUAUCGAACAGGAUUAGAUACCCGGGUAGUC
rnacentral:rRNA from 1 species